rnacentral:misc_RNA from 1 species
CGUAAUUCGCACAAACGAACGACGUCUGGUGUUGUGUUGACGUGCUAGGGCCUUCGCGGUUUUGGCACCGUCUUGCAAUGCCGGUGUCAGUGAGGAAUGC